rnacentral:rRNA from 1 species
AUUGAACGCUGGCGGCAGGCCUAACACAUGCAAGUCGAGCGGAUGAAGGGAGCUUGCUCCUGGAUUCAGCGGCGGACGGGUGAGUAAUGCCUAGGAAUCUGCCUGGUAGUGGGGGAUAACGUCCGGAAACGGGCGCUAAUACCGCAUACGUCCUGAGGGAGAAAGUGGGGGAUCUUCGGACCUCACGCUAUCAGAUGAGCCUAGGUCGGAUUAGCUAGUUGGUGGGGUAAAGGCCUACCAAGGCGACGAUCCGUAACUGGUCUGAGAGGAUGAUCAGUCACACUGGAACUGAGACACGGUCCAGACUCCUACGGGAGGCAGCAGUGGGGAAUAUUGGACAAUGGGCGAAAGCCUGAUCCAGCCAGGCCGCGUGUGUGAAGAAGGUCUUCGGAUUGUAAAGCACUUUAAGUUGGGAGGAAGGGCAGUAAGUUAAUACCUUGCUGUUUUGACGUUACCAACAGAAUAAGCACCGGCGAACUUCGU